CCUAACCUAAAAGACCUUCUACACACAAAAACAUACACGCAUAUACAGAAGACAGUAGAGAGGACUGGAGAUUGAAGGACGCUGGGGCUGUUUCUUCACAAAAACACACAUAUACGCCUAUUCAAAGAAGGAGACUUCUGGAUGAGAGGGUUGCGCAGCUGUGAUUUCAACUUAACAAAUCCACACAGAUACAAACACACAUAUACGGAUACACUACCUAAUAGAUAGGGAAGGGACGCCUGUAAAAGCUGAGACUGGAGGACACCCAGAUACCCCUCCCAGCCUUAUGCCUUUUCAAGCACACGAUCCCUCACCAGAAAAUCAAUCACACGGCAACAAACACACACUCACGACGAGCUUUCACCUCUCUUCUGAACUAAAACGAAACAAAAAUAGUAGGAGAAGGGAAUUGACAUCGAAACAAAAAAGAGGAAACAGGAACGGGAAAACAUGAGAGUUGAAAAACAGUGAGAAUAGAGGGAUCGAACGGACUUGUUUAAUUCUCAUUUCAAGUUCGAAUCUCUUCGAUUUUCAUGUCGAUUUCUGGUUUGCUUCUGAUUUUCAGUCGGGUCCCUAUCUGAGGUGUGCGAGGAUGUCGUUGACAGUCUCGUCGAGGUUUCCGUUCGAGAUUGUUGCUUCGAGGUCUCUGUUCCAAACAAUUCCGGGUCCAAGUGCUAUUUGAUCUCAAGGUGCAUAUCAUAAAUCUAUAUCGUCCUUUGAUUUGCAAGAAGUGAUGGCUAUCUUGUCUAAAUUCUUUGAUGAAUGAUUCAUUUAGCUUUGCAAGAAUUCUGUGUAGAUCCUCUUAAGCUCUAAAUAUAUAUAUUAUAUAUGAUUUUGUGUUGGAUCAUGAUUGAAGUUGAAGUAAAUGUGAUAGUGUUGAUAACUCUAUGUAUUGUAUAUUGAUGUGUUUUGUUUAAAUCAUAAUAUCUCUAGAUAUAAUGGCAACGAAUCUGCUCUAAAUUUGGUUGCGCUUCCUUCCGUAAUAUUUCACUUUAUUUCAAGCUUAAUUAGUUCAAAUUGAAGGGUGAAAAUUGUGUGUGGUGACUCUUGUGACAUAGUUUAAACCAGAGGGUCAUGUGUAAAGCUUUACUUAUGAUGGUGGUCGAGCAAUUGCGUGUUUGUUUAUCAUAGAAGCCAUGAUCGAUCUUUUAAGCUUGUUACAUAUUCAGUAAUAUGGUUAUUUCCUGCAAAUACUUGCAGCACUUUGUUGCACAUUAAUACAAUAACUUUUACCAAAAUAUUUGCUUUAUUUAUGUGUGUGUAGUGGCUAUGAACUCUAGAUAUUCUAUUGUUCAUCUGUUAAAUACAUCUCCUAUUCUUAUCUGUUAGUUUUGAAGUCUGUUAGCUUGGUGAGACCGUGUGGAGUCGGAUUGGUUUACAUUAGUUGAACAAGGUUCCAUUGUGAUUGAAUCCAAUUUAAAAUUCUGGAAAGUUGGUUCAGUGUUUGUUUGAUGGAUCACUAUAUAGUUUUCCUUGAAAAAAAUAAAGUUUUUUCAUGUCUGUUAGUUUAAAGUUCCAGCCAUAACAUGUUUUUUUUUCUCUUAGUUAAUUUUCUUAAAAUAAUUUAGUCAUCAUUAGUAAAUUAAUUUUAUAGAAAAUAUAGUUCCAUGAAUAGAUGAGAUGUGAAUCUUUUAUUAUUUACUAUUAAUUUAACAUAAUUUGGAAAAAGCUCCAAAACUUCAGAAUGAUUCCUACAUCUGUUGCCAAGCUAUAUGAUAUAACGAAGUUGACUACUCUUAUUUAGUUUCUUUGGUUGCCUCACUCUCAAAUUCUAAAUUAUAAUUGUGAUUCUAAAACUAAUUUAGAAUAUGCGUUCGCGCAACUCUGCUCAACUUUCUCGUUAUAAUAUAAUAGGUUAUAACCCUUUAAUCAGUUUGUUUCAUAAGUUCAUUAGAAUUAUAUGGCCUUUUAGUAAUUUCGUAGGUUAGGUAAAUAAAAUAUUUCGUAGAAUAUCUUUUACGGCCGUUACAAAUUACUAGUGUGAUUAUGUAUAUAUCCGCGUAACACAACUACACUUAUAAAAACAAAAAUUGGAGUAUGCGUUCCUGCAACUUCGUCCCAAACUUUCUUAAAAAUAAUUAAGUGUCAUUAAUUGUGUGACAUGAUUUUUGACACGCCAAACAAGUGGGUAUACGUACGCGUAAAUCGUUUCAAGAUAAUUUUAACUAAAAACGGUAAAAGAAGCAAAAGCACAUAGGUUUAAAAAUUAGUAAUUAAAUAAUUUAACAAGCCAAGUAGGAUCAAAGCGACCGUGCUAGAACCACCGAAUUCAGGAGUGCCUAACACCUUCUCCCAGGUUAACAGAAUUUCUUACCCGAAUUUCUGAUUAGCAGACUAUAAUAACAGAGUCAUUCUUUCCUCGAUUCGGGAUUUUAAACCGGUGAUUUGGGACACCAUAAAUUAUCCCAAGUGGCGACUUUGAUUUCUAAUAAUUAAUCCCAUUUCGAUUGUCACUUAAAUUGGAAAAAACUCUCUUUAUUAUAUCCUUUUCAGAUGUAGUAAUAGCCAAAAGAAGGUGUGACAGCUCUGGCGACUCUACUGGGGACCGAACCCAGAAUCUCUGGUUCAGGGUUCAAGAAUUCGAGCUUUGAAUAGUUGUUGUAUUUGGCUUUGUUUAUUAUUUGAUUUUACAUGUUGGCUUAAUGUGCAAAAUGAUACUUUUCAAUUCGAGUUUAUUUUAUGAUUUUUACUUGGCUUAUUUAUUGUUGAUAUUAUUGUACUUUUGUCCUAAAAUGCUAUAUGUUUACCACAUUAAUAUUGUUGAAUUGUAUAUAAUUUUCUCCUUACGCCACCCCUUAUGAGUCUUCUGAAAAUGGUGCACACGUUUGCGUAGCCCGCUUUUUUUGUAGAAAAUAUACCAAGUAGAGCGAGGCUGGGCAAGCGACAAGGCCGUGUAGACUUUAGUGCUCCCGGUACGUAGCCCCCUCCUCAGCCGCAGUUGUCCGCUCGGGUACCCCAUGUCUAGAUCAAAACCCCAGGAUUUAAACUUAGAAAAACACAGCCUCAUGUCGGAUCCCUAGUAAGAGCGCUUGUUUGCAUCAUGUGCAUUUCAAUUAGGGGAAUCAACACAGGGGUUGGGUCCGUCUAGAAAAGGUGUACCCAAAAAUAAAAGACCAUCCUGAUGCAUCCUAAUGUGCUACAUGUUGCAUUUCUCCAAGGGUAAAAGGGUCAUUUGGCGGACCAAUGAAAGUUUAGGGCAAACAAAAAUUGGAAAAAGAGAGAAAAACAAGAGGGCGAAGUGCGAAAAUAAUGCAAGCAGGAUCUAGCUGUGUUUUUGUUAUAUUUUUUUUAUUUGAAAAAAGGAAAAUAUAUACAUGAAAAAUUUAAAAAAAAAGAUUUUGCACUUUUAUCAUUUUUCAAAAAUAAAUAAAGAGGGAAAAAAGAAAAUUCAAAAGAUUUUGCAUGUUUCAACAUUUUACAAGAAAAAGCAAUAAAAAAUAAUUUUUUCUCUAAAAUUAGCUGUUUUUUUAUUUCUUUCCCGUAUCCAAUUCACCAGAACUACGCAAACCUGAUUCUCAUCUUUCGGGGCGUGAUACGUAGGCAACUCACAUAGGGUCCGAUUUUCCUUGUAAAUCUUAGGUUCUUGGCUUUGCAGGGUCAUAGCCAGAUCUUGCACUUCUAGCUACUUUUAGCCACAUAUGUUAGUUUUAGAAUCUAGAAGUUGCUUGUUGGAAAUUGUGUGAAUGGAGUUGUGUCAAUGGACUCUACUAUUGAAAUUCUUAGAGUUCAAGUUGGAAUUCUCUUGUCAAACUUCUUUUAUGCUGGUGAAUGUUCUGUUGAGAUUAGUCUUUGUUUGUUGGAGCAUUGUUUUGUGAUUUUAAUUCAAUCUAUGAAUUGUUCGUGGGCAAAUGUUGGAAAGAAAAUCCUAUAUUGAAACACCAAUUAUCUUUGUGCUAAGACUGUGGAGUGCUGAAGCUUGUCUUGUUGAAGUUUGCCACUUUUGUGAUGUUUUUGGAGUAAAUUGAUAGCUGAAAUUCUCCUAGUUUGAAAUUGUUACCACUGGUUUCUAAUAGUUGUUGUUAUUGUUAAGUUUAAUAGAGGGGAUUCAGCUGGACUAAAGAUUGAGUAGCUUGAAUUGUGAUUUGGUUAAGCUUACAAUAAGCUUAAUCUGCUGAAAAUUGGUGUCUGUUGAGAUUGUGCCCGAGCUUGGCAGUAGCUUGAAAGCUGGUUUUUACUUCUAAAAUGUUCUCCUUGUUGAAUUGAGUGCUCUUGUAAAUUUGGUGACAGAAGUUGCAUGUUUGCUGGAAAAUAAUUUGCUUCUUGUUUUCUGUUGCUGAAAAGAAUUUCAUACUUGUUGUCCACAGCCCUGCAUUGUUCAUUUUUCGCUCAACAAUGGAGAUUUUCACAUUUCUUUAAUUGAUUGUAGUUACUAUAGUUUUUCUUAACAGUUGAGAGAAUUUUACAAAAUUUUUAGUUCACUUAACUCAACUGUGUUGCUUCAGUUUAUAUGCCAACAAUACACUAUUGAAAUUCAAGUUUUGAGCUAUUUUUUAAAAGUAGAUCCCGCACUAUUCAGCAGUACUGUGUGGUUAUUCUGACUAAAUACAGAUGUGAUUCUAAUACUUUGUUUCUAUACUUGAGGUCGUCAUUCUGGGCUGAAAAUUCUGUGCCUACUGCUGCUGAAUUUAGUGCUCAAGGUGUUGCUGAAGUUUUGAGUUUUGAGAAGCAAUUGAAUAGCGAACCUGC
rnacentral:lncRNA from 1 species